rnacentral:snRNA from 1 species
GUACUUACCUGGCAAGGGAGACACCUUGACCGUGAAGGAGGUUUUCCCAGGGUGAGGCUCAGCUACUGCACUCUGGCUGUGCUGACCCCUGAGAUUUCCCCAAAUGCGGGAAAAUCAACUGCAUAAUGUGAGAUAAUGGGGGACUGCGUGUGUGCAUAA